rnacentral:rRNA from 1 species
GAAUAUUGCAGAAUGGGCGCAAGCCUGAUGCAGCAACGCCGCGUGGGCGAUUGAAGGCCUUCGGGUUGUAAAGCCCUUUUGCGCGGGAAGAGGAAGGACGGUACCGCGCGAAUAAGCCUCGGCUAACUACGUGCCAGCAGCCGCGGUAAAACGUAGGAGGCGAGCGUUAUCCGGAUGUACUGGGCGUAAAGCGCGUGCAGGCGGCCCGGCAAGUUGGCUGUGAAAGCCCCCGGCUCAACCGGGGGAGGUCGGUCAAAACUGCCGGUGCUAGAGGAUGGGAGAGGGAGAUGGAAUUCCGGGUGUAGUGGUGAAAUGCGUAGAGAUCCGGAGGAACACCAGUGGCGAAAGCGAUCUUCUGGCCCAUCACUGACGCUCAGACGCGAAAGCUAGGGGAGCGAACGG